AUACGUAGGGUGCAAGCGUUAAUCGGAAUUACUGGGCGUAAAGCGUGCGCAGGCGGUUUUGUAAGACAGUGGUGAAAUCCCCGGGCUCAACCCGGGAACUGCCAUUGUUACUGCAAGGCUGGAGUGGGGCAGAGGGGGGUGGAAUUCCGCCUGUAGCAGUGAAAUGCGUAGAUAUGCGGAGGAACACCGAUGGCGAAGGCAAUCCCCUGGGCCUGCACUGACGCUCAUGCACGAAAGCGUGGGGAGCAAACAGGAUUAGAUACCCUGGUAGUCCACGCCCUAAACGAUGUCAACUGGUUGUUGGGGAUUUAUUUUCUCAGUAACGAAGCUAACGCGUGAAGUUGACCGCCUGGGGAGUACGGCCGCAAGGUUAAAACUCAAAGGAAUUGACGGGG
rnacentral:rRNA from 1 species